rnacentral:rRNA from 1 species
CAAUAGCGUAUAUUAAAGUUGUUGCGGUUAAAAAGCUCGUAGUUGGAUUUCUGCUGAGAACGACCGGUCCGCCCUUUGGGUGUGUAUCUGGCUCUUUCUUGGCAUCUUCUUGGUGAACGUUGCUGCACUUGACUGUGUGGAGCGCUACCCAGGACUUUUACUUUGAGGAAAUUAGAGUGUUUCAAGCAGGCAUACGCCUUGAAUACAUUAGCAUGGAAUAAUAAGAUAGGACCUCGGUUCUAUUUUGUUGGUUUCUAGAGCUGAGGUAAUGAUUAAUAGGGAUAGUUGGGGGCAUUCGUAUUUAACUGUCAGAGGUGAGAUUCUUGGAUUUGUUAAAGACGGACUACUGCGAAAGCAUUUGCCAAGGAUGUUUNCAUUG